rnacentral:snRNA from 1 species
GGAUGGAGAGCGAUCUGGCUGCGACAUCUGUCACCCCAUUGAGCACUAGGGUUGAUUCGGCUGAUCUGGUUGGCUAGGCGGGUGUCUCCUUCCUCCCUCAUGGCUUCAUGUGUGUCUCUCCCGAAGCUGCACACUUGGUCGAAGAGGAUGGCUGUCUUCGAAUACAGACAGAUUGGUUUUUGGUCGAGGGCAUACGAGUAGCUGCGAUCCCCUGCUAGAACCUCCAAACCUAAAGAAAUAGGAAUGAAUUUUCUAAAAAAAAAAUUCUGGGGGCUGGAGCAACAGUACAGUGGGUAGGGCGCAUGCCUUGCAAGUGGCCAACC